CAAAGGACGACGAAGAAGCCCUUCUCCGGCUACCCUCCCCCCUUGCUCAGUAAUUAAGAACACGACUCCCCUCCACGUUAGCUUUCACUCCUCCCCCACCGGCAGCCGCAACCAUGGAAGGAGUUCAGCAGCAUCUUGUUAGCAUGUCUGCCCUGCAAGAAUCGCUCGUUAAUGGGAGAUGCUGGGAGUGGGUAAUUUGGCCCAGAGAGGUGGAGUGACCUGACAGCAGCCACACAGCUAGCAGGUGGAAGGGCAUUUGAGGCCAGGGCGGGCGUGCUGCUGCAAGUUCACGUUCCCAUCAGGCUCCAGGUGCGGGUGUGACUGGAGCUGCAGCUGGAGCAGAGAAGGUUCCAGGCGCUGAACUUCAUGCUGGGGAAGCAGAUGAGAAAGACGCAGACCUGCCCUUGAGAGAUUGGCAGUCUGGAAGCAGAGAGAAAUGCGGAAAACAGACAGUGGAAUCAGUGCAGAGGUCAUAGACCCCAGGAAGGGCAGCCUCCGGGAUCCCCAUGCUUAAAGCAGCCUGGCACAGAGUGGACAUCUGGUUACUCUUUGUUGGAUGAGGGAGCAAAGCUGUAAAGGAUGGCAUUCCGGGAAUCCAAGGGACAGCCUCUUGAUGAGAGACUGUGGAAGUGCAAGCGGACAUGAGGCUCCAUCAGCCUGGGUCCCGAGGUGAAAAGGAGGCAGCACAGACCCUCCACCGAGAUGGAUGGACAGCAGGAGAAAGAACCCAACCUCCAUGGAUGGAGGCCGUUGAAGCUGAGGGGCACUGUCACUGCAGUGUCCCCCAGCCCACCUGGACUGACACAGGGACCCGCUUCGGGGCCACAGCUCCAGACCACAGAGCCGUGCAGCCGCCCAGAAUCCCAGCCCCUUGAAUACAAUUCCCCUGGUCCCAUGGAAACUGUCCCCAGGCCUGCGAGAUGAGGAGAUGGGUCUCAGCCUUGCCUCAUCUGGCGGUCUGGUCCUCACAUUGCUUUGUUCUGCUGGCUGGAAUAUCGAUCCAGGACUACGCGUCCCUGUUUAGUCCAGGAAAUAAA